AUGAUUCCUGCCAAGCAGGUAUCUGUGCAACUUAUAAAAGCCCGGUGCUCUCAGCGGGGGUCAUGGGCGGAGAAGCUCUUAAAAAAGAGGGAACAUGUCCUGCGAGGCGGCGGGAGGACCAGGGGCCCGUUCGGUCCUUGCCCUGCUGGCCAGCUGUCCUCCCUUUGCCCCCUUCUCCCCACAGACGGCAGCGCUGGUGCUCCUGAGGCCUCCGCGGAUGGAGGGUGGCCUGGCGGGCGCGAGUGCAGACCGGGCCGGUGUGAUGCGUGGACGCCCCAUGGGAGCUGGGGCCUGACACUGACCUCGGAAGACCAAGGACAGAUGGUUCCAGACGUUGCAGCAGAAGGAACCUUUUCCCAGGUAAACUCAUAAGGAGAAUCCUAACGCAGGCAUGAGAGGAAGGGUCUGCCAGGGCCCCCUCCCCGACCUGUGGCGGCUGCUGAGGUACCCUGGGGUCUUAGGGAAGAGGUGGCUUUGACCCUGGAGGACAGGGGCCCCGGGAGACCAGGGAGCCUCUUGGCCUGCAGCCACAUCCUUGCGGCUCUGGGCCUCCCAUGGACUCCUGCCGCCUGCUGGCCAGGCUUAGAGAGGACUCUUCCUGGCUGGCCAUAGUUUCCGGGUAAUUAAGAGCUUACCUUUGUUGUUGUUGUUGUUUUUAACUAGAGAGAGAGAGCAGGCAGAGGGGGGAGGAGAGAGAGAGAGAAUGAAUCUCCAUAAGUGUGGGGCCCAAUGCAGGUCUUUUUCUUUUUAAUUUUUUUGGUUUAUUUGUUUUUGAGACAGAGACAGAGCCUGAGCAGGGGAGGGGCAGAGAGAGAGAGAGGGAGACACGGAAUCCGAAGCAGGCUCCAGGCUCCGAGCUGCCAGCACAGAACCCGAUGCGGGGCUCGAACCCAUGGACCACGAGAUCAUGAC
rnacentral:lncRNA from 1 species